rnacentral:rRNA from 1 species
GACGUAGGGCGCGAGCGUUGUCCGGAUUCAUUGGGCGUAAAGAGCUCGUAGGCGGUUCGAUAAGUCGGGUGUGAAACCUCCAGGCUCAACCUGGAGACGCCACCCGAUACUGUCGUGACUAGAGUCCAGUAGGGGAGCGUGGAAUUCCUGGUGUAGCGGUGAAAUGCGCAGAUAUCAGGAGGAACACCGGUGGCGAAGGCGGAUCUCUGGGCCUUACCUGACGCUGAGGCGCGAAGGUCAGGGGAGCAAACGGG